rnacentral:rRNA from 1 species
GUUUGAUCAUGGCUCAGAUUGAACGCUGGCGGCAGGCUAACACAUGCAAGUCGAGCGGUACGACAGGAGAGCUUGCUCUCUGGGUGACGAGCGGCGGACGGGUGAGUAAUGUCUGGGAAACUGCCUGAUGGAGGGGGAUAACUACUGGAAACGGUAGCUAAUACCGCAUAACGUCUACGGACCAAAGUGGGGGACCUUCGGGCUCAUGCCAUCAGAUGUGCCCAGAUGGGAUUAGCUAGUAGGUGGGGUAAUGGCUCACCUAGGCGACGAUCCCUAGCUGGUCUGAGAGGAUGACCAGCCACACUGGAACUGAGACACGGUCCAGACUCCUACGGGAGGCAGCAGUGGGGAAUAUUGCACAAUGGGCGCAACUGAUGCAGCCAUGCCGCGUGUGUGAAGAAGGCCUUCGGGUUGUAAAGCACUUUCAGCGAGGAGGAAGGGUUCAGUGUUAAUAGCACUGUUCAUUGACGUUACUCGCAGAAGAAGCACCGGCUAAACUCCGUGCCAGCAGCCGCGGUAAUACGGAGGGUGCAAGCGUUAAUCGGAAUU